rnacentral:lncRNA from 1 species
GUGGCCACCUUCUACCUGGAUGGUGGAGAUGGAAACCCGGCCACGGUCAUCUACGACUACAAGAAUCUCCUGGUGAGCUUCAGAUCCCAUCUCCACCGUGCCUGCUACGUCACCCGGGUGGACAAGGACAAUAUCCCUGGGCUGGAUGCCAUCGCCGAGACCUUCCAGCGCCGGCUGGCUGAGAAGAAACUGGCCGUGCCCCUGGCUGAUCGCUCCCUCCUGGGUACCACAGCGAGCAUCCUCUGCAGCAUCAUCCCCAUCUACCAAAAAGCCCCCCCCCCCAUGGGCAGGGGGCUGUCAGGGGGGGGUUGGGGGACCCCCCCGCACCCAGCAACACCCUCACACUUGUUGGAGAAAG